rnacentral:rRNA from 1 species
AUUCCAGCUCCAAUAGCGUAUAUUAGAGUUGUUGCAGUUAAAAAGCUCGUAGUUGGAUUUCUGUCAAUGUGUUCCGGUACCGCCUGUAUAGGUGUGCACUUGGAUUAUCAUUGGCAUUCUUCCGUUCUUAUAUCGGCUCUUUAUUGCGUCGAUAUAGGUUAUCGGAACUUUUACUUUGAGAAAAAUAGAGUGUUUCAAGCAGGCUUGUCGCCUUGAAUACUGCAGCAUGGAAUAAUAAGAUAGGACCUUGGUUCUAUUUUGUUGGUUUCUAGGACUAAGGUAAUGAUUAAUAGGGACAGUUGGGGGCAUUCGUAUUUAACUGUCAGAGGUGAAAUUCUUAGAUUUGUUAAAGACGAACUACUGCGAAAGCAUUUGCCAAGGAUGUUUUCAUCG